GAUGAUCCAGCAAUUUUGCUUCUUGGGUAUAGAUACCCAAAAGAAUUGAAAGCAGGGACUCAAACAGAUACUUGUACACCCAUGUUCAUAGCAACAAUAUUCCCAACAGCCAAAAGGUGACAACCCAAAUGUCCAUCUAGAGAUGACAUAUAUAUAUAUGCCACAUUUUGUAUAUGUAUGUUUUAUAUAUAUAUAUAUGCAUAACAUUGCAUUUAUACACACACACACACACACACACACACACACACUGGAUUAUUCAGCCUUAAAAAGGAAUGAAUAAUGACUGCUACAACAUGGGUGAGCCUUGAAAACGUAAGUGAAAUAAGCCAGGUACAACGACAUGAUUCCACUCUUAGGAGGUAGUGUAGUUAAAUUCAGAGACUCUUAGGGAUUACCAGGGGCUAGGGAGAGGAGAGAAUGGGGAGGUACUAUAUAAUAGGUACAGAAUUUGUUUGAGAUGAUGGAAAUAUUCUGGAAAUAAUAGUUGCACAACUUUGUGCGUGUAAUUAACACCACUGAAUUGUACACUCAUAAUGGCUAAAAGAUUUAUGUAAUGCAUGUUUCUCUACCAUAAAAACGAAAAGCAAAGAGCUCAACAGAUACAAGAGCUCUAAGAUCACAACCAAUCACUGGAAAACCUCGUUUUAAUUUUAAUUCCAGCAUCUACAUUGGACAAUUAGCAUUUGUAAAAACCUUUUCAUGCUUUGAGAACUAAAUGAAAAGACACUCAUGUUGAAAGCUUACCAGAUGCUACUUUUCAGUGUAUGUGCAUUUGUUUUAAACUGAAUGCACUAAGUAGCAUUUGCAGGAUGAACAUGGAUAACAAUACUUGAGGGUUAGAAUUCCUCGCUAUCCAACCACACAUUGUAUUAUACAGGCUGGCGACAACAGCCUGUAUAAUCCAUUCUCAUUAGGUAUUUGGAAAUUAUUUUAGUGUCUUGCAUUUGGCCUCACUAUCAAUCACCAUCAAUAGAAAAGUUAUUUCAAACUAGCUCAUUCUAAAUAGACAACUAAGUGGUAGCUUCCAUGAUGUCUUAGGUUCUUUGCGGGGUGGAAGAGCAGGGUAAAUGCUCCCUGCACAUAAUAUACUUAACAUAUUUCAAGUAUCAUUUUACUCUUCAUAUGACAAGUGAGAAAAUGCUGAUUUAUUUAUUUCCUCCCCCUUUGUAGGUGGGAAAUAGAAGGCAUUUGAGCUGAGAUAUUACGACGCCAAAACCUUUAUCAGCUUCUCCAAAUAUUAUUUGCACUCUUCCACUUUAUUUAUUUUUCUUUUUAGGGCCGCACGUGUAGCAUAUGAAAAGUGUCCAGCUGCAGCUCCAGCUCUGAUUUGACCUCUAGCCUAGGGAUCCUGGGGACUUCCAUGUGCCUGGAGUGUGGCCCUAAGAAGCAAAAAAAAAAAAAGUUUAAAGAAGGCAGAGCUGACCCCCACAAUGAUGCAAGAAGUGGCUUUCUAGUCACCCACAGGACAUAUGACAAUGUGAAGGGGGUCAGGAAUUUGGUUUGCUCAGAUAGCCAAUUUAACUGUAAAAAAAUAGCUGAAAAGCUAAAUUUAGACAGUCAAGACUCAUUCUGAAAGAAAGCUUGCUCCGGAGGGAAAAAAAUCCUAGCUGUUGUGGUUGAUGAUCCUGUAGAGAGAGGCCAAACCAAAACAGAGUUUCACUGGAACCACCACUUGGGUGGAUAUUCAGGGCAGUCCUACAAUUUUUUUCAUUGGUCUUGGAGGAACAAAAAUGAGCUGAGCUUCCUCAUUUUUCAUCAGCUCUAUAGGUACAAUGAUUUAAGCAGAGUGAAACCUUUAGAGUCGAGUGUGACAAAGUAGAGAGCAUAGGGCUAGUUUAUUGGGAGGAUCCUAGCAAAUCGUUAGCUCCGAAUGAGCAGCUAAACAUGGGAGCAUUUCUCUUAUUUCAAGCUGAGCUCAUUUGAGUAACAAGUAGGUUACCUGCAGGCUGGGAGUUACACUGUCAACAGGGAGCUAGAGCUCAAUGUUACUCUUUGUUUUUUUUCUUACUGCCAUGGCAGGUGGAAGUUCCUGGGCCAGGAUCAAAACCAAGCCACUACAAGGACAACUCCGGAUCCUUAACCUGCUGCAUCAUAAGAGAUCAGUGUUAUGUAUUGUUAUACAGAAUAGAUGAAAAUGGUUUCACUUUAAACGUUUAAAGAAAAUAAUGCAAGGAAAAGUAUUUCAGAUAUGUUUUUGUGUUAACAUUAGCAUUUUAGUUAAGGAGCUAGUUAAAUCAUGUUCCUCCUCAUAAGAAUAUUGAGUCAACAAGAGUUUAUUUAGGAACUUGGAUCUUUGCUGCCCCAGUUUCCUUACCAGUCUCUAGUAAGAUGCUCUAAUCAGUCAAUAUCUUUAUUGUUGCUGCCCAGAUAAACCAGCAUUACAGACUAUAGAUGACUUAAUCCAGGGCCUUGUGGCAGUGACCUCAGAGAACUAGCAUUGCUGCAGAGGUGCAGAUUUGAUCACUGGCCUGGAGGGUGGGUUCACUCCCUUGGUUUACAAGGCAAAAACUUAGAAUAAUUUUUCAUGUUUUCUUAGUUCCUGUUACUGAAUUUUUACAACUUGCAUUUAAGAUGGUGUUUUGUACUAUGUAAUAAAGUAUAUACGUACUUGACAUCCUAAUAAACCAUACAUU
rnacentral:lncRNA from 1 species